rnacentral:rRNA from 1 species
CAGGGAAUCUUGCACAAUGGGCGGAACCCUGAUGCAGCGAUGCCGCGUGAGUGAAGAAGGCCUUUGGGUUGUAAAACUCUUUCGUCGGGGAAGAAAAUGACUGUACCCGAAUAAGAAGGUCCGGCUAACUUCGUGCCAGCAGCCGCGGUAAUACGAAGGGACCUAGCGUAGUUCGGAAUUACUGGGCUUAAAGAGCUCGUAGGUGGUUAAAGAAGUUGGUGGUGAAAUCCCAAGGCUUAACCUUGGAACUGCCAUCAAAACUUUUUAGCUAGAGUAUGAUAGAGGAAAGUGGAAUUUCUAGUGUAGAGGAGAAAUUCGUAGAUAUUAGAAAGAACAUCAAAAGCGAAGGCAACUUUCUGGAUCAUUACUGACACUGAGGAGCGAAAGCAUGGGUAGCGAAGAGG